rnacentral:rRNA from 1 species
AUUGAACGCUGGCGGCAGGCCUAACACGUGCAAGUCGAACGGUAGCACAGAGAGCUUGCUCUCGGGUGACGAGUGGCGGACGGGUGAGUAAUGUCUGGGAAACUGCCCGAUGGAGGGGGAUAACUACUGGAAACGGUAGCUAAUACCGCAUAACGUCGCAAGACCAAAGUGGGGGACCUUCGGGCCUCACACCAUCGGAUGUGCCCAGAUGGGAUUAGCUAGUAGGUGGGGUAAUGGCUCACCUAGGCGACGAUCCCUAGCUGGUCUGAGAGGAUGACCAGCCACACUGGAACUGAGACACGGUCCAGACUCCUACGGGAGGCAGCAGUGGGGAAUAUUGCACAAUGGGCGCAAGCCUGAUGUAGCCAUGCCGCGUGUAUGAAGAAGGCCUUCGGGUUGUAAAGUACUUUCAGCGGGGGAGGAAGGCGGUGAAGUUAAUAACUUCACCGAUUGACGUUACCCGCAGAAGAAGCACCGGCUAACUCCGUGCCAGCCGCCGCGGUAA